GGGAUACAGGAGUUAUUUGAAAGUUGGAAACACCCAAGGUUUUUUAGACGCACGCCCAAAGGAAACAAAGGGAAGAAAAAUGGCAAGUGGGAAUACAACCGAAGGAGCCCAAACAAGAUCAUAAAGGCAUCAGAAGAAAAAUUUGAAUUGAAAUCUCGCCAGAGUUUCUGAUCUAUGUAUUGUGGUGAUGGGAAUUUGUACCAUGCUAGAAAAAGGAGGCCUCUAAAACAUUGCAGACGUUCCUACCAAACCAGCAGUGAACAGAGACGGCCGAAUAAGAGUACUGGUGCAGCUGCACAUGGAAGCCUGAGAAGCCUUAUAUGUCUCCUGCCAACAUCCUGUGGACGAUCUUAACACACUUUGGAGGCAAAAGUUUGUCACGAGCCUCUGUUCCUCUCUUGAUACAUCCCAUGACGUCCCAUGUCAACCGCUGUCUGGCACUGGUCACUAAAGUUAAGUUUACUGUCCACCAGUACCCCAAGUCCUUUUUGUUAGAAGUUUUAACUAAUGUUAUAUUAUUUAGUUUUUACACCCCAAGUGCCAUAAUUAACCUUACAUUAAUCCACAUUAAACUUCAUUUGCCAUGCCUGUGCCCAAGCCUCCAGCUUCCUCAGAUCCCUCUGUAAUAUUAUGUUAUCCUCCUCUGUGGUGAUCACCUUACCCAGUUUAGUGUCAUCUGCAAAUACUGAAA